UUUCCGUAGGUGAACCUGCGGAAGGAUCAUUAACGAGUUAGGGUCUUCUAGGCCCGACCUCCCAACCCUUUGUUUACUGAACCAUUGUUGCCUCGGUGGGUCCGUCUUACGACCGCCGGGGGAUCGCCGCGAGGCGCCCCCUGGCCAGCGCCCACCGAUAGCCCAACCUUUAAAACCCUUUGUGAAUCGUGUCUUAUGUCUAAAUUUAUGAUUAAACAAUCAAAGCAAAACUUUCAACAACGGAUCUCUUGGUUCUG
rnacentral:misc_RNA from 1 species